rnacentral:rRNA from 1 species
UACGGGGGGAGCAAGCGUUGUUCGGAUUUACUGGGCGUAAAGGGCGCGUAGGCGGCGUAACAAGUCACUUGUGAAAUCUCCGGGCUUAACUCGGAGCGGUCAAGUGAUACUGUUGUGCUAGAGUGCGGAAGGGGCUACUGGAAUUCUCGGUGUAGCGGUGAAAUGCGUAGAUAUCGAGAGGAACACCAGUGGCGAAGGCGAGUCCCUGGACAACUCCUGACACUGAGGCACGAAAGCUAGGGGAGCAAACAGG